rnacentral:rRNA from 1 species
GACGAACGCUGGCGGCGUGCUUAACACAUGCAAGUCGAACGGAAAGGCCCUGCUUGCAGGGUACUCGAGUGGCGAACGGGUGAGUAACACGUGGGUGAUCUGCCCUGCACUUCGGGAUAAGCCUGGGAAACUGGGUCUAAUACCGGAUAGGAGCCAUUUUUAGUGUGAUGGUUGGAAAGUUUUUUCGGUGUAGGAUGAGCUCGCGGCCUAUCAGCUUGUUGGUGGGGUAAUGGCCUACCAAGGCGGCGACGGGUAGCCGGCCUGAGAGGGUGGACGGCCACAUUGGGACUGAGAUCCGGCCCAGACUCCGACGGGGGGCAGAAGUGGGGAAUAUUGCACAAUGGGCGCAAGCCUGAUGCAGCGACGCCGCGUGGGGGAUGACGGCCUUCGGGUUGGAAACUCCUUUCGCUAGGGACGAAGCUUUUUGUGACGGUACCUAGAUAAGAAGCACCGGCUAACUACGUG